UCUAGGAGUCAAAUAAGCUUUUAGGACCACAGAAGUCCCUUCUUCAUUAUGUCUGAAGAUGGGACAUCUGAGUUAGCAAAAGCUUAUGCAGCUAGAAGGUAUCACCUUCAACUAAAUUCAACUCAAACUAAAGUUCCAUGAAAUCUACUCAUUGUCCUAUCUUUAAAUUACCUUCUGUAAUCUUUUGUAGAACUACAACUUCCAUAAUAGCCAGCUAUCCAAGACUUUGGUAGAGCAUUGUAAGUGUUAAAGUUAUAAGACAGCUGGAGGACGGCAUGCAUCUUUGCUUUAUGUGCAUGAAUAACCUUGUGCGAGAAGCACUCAAACCCAUAAAAA